rnacentral:rRNA from 1 species
GGAGGAAAAGAAACUAACAAGGAUUCCCCUAGUAACGGCGAGUGAACCGGGAAGAGCUCAAAUUUGAAAUCUGGCGUCCUCAGGGCGUCCGAGUUGUAAUCUAUAGAGGCGUUUUCCGUGCCGGACCGUGUCCAAGUUCCUUGGAACAGGAUAUCAAAGAGGGUGACAAUCCCGUACUUGACACGACGACCGGUGCUCUGUGAUACGUCUUCUACGAGUCGAGUUGUUUGGGAAUGCAGCUCAAAAUGGGUGGUGAGUUCCAUCUAAAGCUAAAUAUUGGCGAGAGACCGAUAGCGAACAAGUACCGUGAGGGAAAGAUGAAAAGCACUUUGGAAAGAGAGUUAAACAGUACGUGAAAUUGUUGAAAGGGAAACGAUUGAAGUCAGUCGUGACCGAGAGGCUCAGCCGGUUCUGCCGGUGUAUUCCCCUCGGUCGGGUCAACAUCAGUUUUGUCCGGUGGAUAAGGACGGUAGGAAGGUGGCACCCUCGGGUGUGUUAUAGCCUGCCGUCGCAUACAUCGGGUGAGACUGAGGAACGCAGCUCGCCUUUAUGGCCGGGGUUCGCCCACGUCCGAGCGUAGGA